GAGUGAAGCGGCAACAGCUCAAAUUUGAAAUCUGGCCUCGGCCCGAGUUGUAAUUUGCAGAGGAUGCUUUUGGUGCGGUGCCUUCCGAGUUCCCUGGAACGGGACGCCACAGAGGGUGAGAGCCCCGUAUGGUCGGACACCAAUCCUGUGUAAAGCUCCUUCGACGAGUCGAGUAGUUUGGGAAUGCUGCUCUAAAUGGGAGGUAAAUCUCUUCUAAAGCUAAAUACCGGCCAGAGACCGAUAGCGCACAAGUAGAGUGAUCGAAAGAUGAAAAGCACCUUGAAAAGGGGGUUAAACAGUACGUGAAAUUGUUGAAAGGGAAGCACUUGUGACCAGACUUGGGCCGGGCGGCUCAUCAGGGGUUCUCCCCUGUGCAUUCCGCCCGGUACAGGCCAGCAUCGGUUCUUACCGGGGGAUAAGAACGGCAGGAACGUGGCUCCCUCUCGGGGGAGUGUUAUAGCCUGCCGUACGAUACCCUGGCGGGGACCGAGGUUCGCGCUUCCGCAAGGAUGCUGGCGUAAUGGUUACUAGUGACCCGUCUUGAAACACGGACCAAGGAGUCGUCCAUUAGAGCGAGCGUUUGGGUGUAAAACCCGCACGCGUAAUGAAAGUGAAAUUAGGUGAGAGCUUCGGCGCAUCAUCGACCGAUCCUGAUGUUCUCGGAUGGAUUUGAGUAAGAGUUUUAACGGACGGACCCGAAAGACAGUGAACUAUGCUUGUAUAGGGUGAAGCCAGAGGAAACUCUGGUGGAGGCUCGCAGCGGUUCUGACGUGCAAAUCGAU
rnacentral:rRNA from 1 species